AAUUCUGGCCUAUCCAAUUCUCUUCCGAUUCUGUCUGAUAUUGGAAGCUAAGCAGUUUUGGGGCCAACUAGUACUUGAAUGGGAAACCACUAGGGAAUUUCAGAUGCCAUAAGCA
rnacentral:rRNA from 1 species